rnacentral:rRNA from 1 species
GGUUAAAAAGCUCGUAGUUGGAUUUCUGUUGAGGAUGACCGGUCCGCUCUUUGAGCGCGUAUCUGGUUCAGCCUUGGCAUCCUCUUGGGGAACGCUACUGUGCUUGAUUGCAUGGGGCGGUAUUCAAGACUUUUACUUUGAGGAAAUUAGAGUGUUCACUGCAAGCGUUAGCAAUUGAAUACAUUAGCAUGGAAUAAUAAUAUAGGACCUUGGUACUAUUUUGUUGGUUUCUAGAACUAAGGUAAUGAUUAAUAGGGACAAUUGGGGGCAUUCGUAUUAACGCGUCAGAGGUGGAAUUCUUAGAUUGCGUUACGACGAACUACUGCGAAAGCAUUUGCCAAGGAUGUUUUCAUUGAUCAAGAACGAAAGUAUGGGGAUCGAAGACGCUUAGAUACCGUCGUAGUCUAUACCAUAAACUAUGCCAACUAGAGAUUGGAGGUCGUUCUCUUUAUGACUCCUUCAGCACCUUAUGAGAAAUCAAAGUCUUUGGGUUCCGGGGGGAGUAUGGUCGCAAGGCUGAAACUUAAAGGAAUUGACGGAAGGGCACCACCAGGAGUGGAGCCUGCGGCUUAAUUUGACUCAACACGGGGAAACUUACCAGGUCCAGACAUAGUAAAGAUUGACAGAUUGAUAGCUCUU